GACGAACGCUGGCGGCGUGCUUAACACAUGCAAGUCGAACGGUGAAGGGGUCUGCUUUUGUGGGCCCUGGAUGAGUGGCGAACGGGUGAGUAACACGUGAGUAACCUGCCCCCUUCUUCUGGAUAACCGCAUGAAAGUGUGGCUAAUACGGGAUAUUCUGGGUCUGUCGCAUGAUGGGUCUGGGCAAGAUUGCGCCUUUGGGUGUUUUUGGUGGGGGAUGGGCUCGCGGCCUAUCAGCUUGGUGGUGGGGUGAUGGCCUACCAAGGCGGUGACGGGUAGCUGGCCUGAGAGGGUGGACGGUCACACUGGGACUGAGACACGGCCCAGACUCCUACGGGAGGCAGCGGUGGGGAAUAGUGCACUGUGGGCGCAAGCCGGAUGCAGCGACGCCGCGUGAGGGAUGGAGGCCUUCGGGUUGUAAACCUCUUUCGCCAGUGAAGCAGGCCUGCUCAUUGUGGGUGGGUUGACGGUAGCUGGAUAAGAAGCGCCGGCUAACUACGUG
rnacentral:rRNA from 1 species